GAUGAACGCUGGCGGCGUGCCUAAUACAUGCAAGUCGAGCGAACAGACGAGGAGCUUGCUCCUCUGACGUUAGCGGCGGACGGGUGAGUAACACGUGGAUAACCUACCUAUAAGACUGGGAUAACUUCGGGAAACCGGAGCUAAUACCGGAUAAUAUAUUGAACCGCAUGGUUCAAUAGUGAAAGACGGUUUUGCUGUCACUUAUAGAUGGAUCCGCGCCGCAUUAGCUAGUUGGUAAGGUAACGGCUUACCAAGGCGACGAUGCGUAGCCGACCUGAGAGGGGGACCGGCCCCACAGGAACGGAGACCCGGUCCAGACCCCUAGGGGAGGCAGCAGUAGGGAACCUUCCGAAAGGGGCGAAAGCCUGAGGGAGCAACGCCGGGUGAGUGAAGAAGGUCUUCGGAUCGUAAAACUCUUUUAUUAGGGAAGAAAAAAUGUGUAAGUAACUAUGCACGUUUUGACGGUACCUAAUCAGAAAGCCACGGCUAACUACGU
rnacentral:rRNA from 1 species